rnacentral:misc_RNA from 1 species
AAGUCGUAACAAGGUUUCCGUAGGUGAACCUGCGGAAGGAUCAUUCACACAAAGUCCUUAACAUUUGUUAAGGAUUUACAACCAAAAAACUAAAACCAACGCGAACUGUACAACCCUUUUUUUUAAAUAACCAAAUGCCUUGUUUACGCGGUAGAUGAAAGUCUAUGCGGUGUUUCCUGGCGAGUUAACCUGUCGGGUGAUGAUGCCUCGAGCAAUCCGGGCUAGUUGCUUGUUAAUUUGUUGUUAGUCCUAUAUGCGUGGAUUCGGUAUAGGCGGAAAUGUAGAAAUACGAAAUAUAUACAACUCUUUGCAAUGGAUAUCUUGGUUCUC